UGGGGAAUAUUGCAUAAUGGGCGCAAGCCUGAUGCAGCCAUGCCGCGUGUAUGAAGAAGGCCUUCGGGUUGUAAAGUACUUUCAGCGGGGAGGAAGGGAGUAAAGUUAAUACCUUUGCUCAUUGACGUUACCCGCAGAAGAAGCACCGGCUAACUCCGUGCCAGCAGCCGCGGUAAUACGGAGGGUGCAAGCGUUAAUCGGAAUUACUGGGCGUAAAGCGCACGCAGGCGGUUUGUUAAGUCAGAUGUGAAAUCCCCGGGCUCAACCUGGGAACUGCAUCUGAUACUGGCAAGCUUGAGUCUCGUAGAGGGGGGUAGAAUUCCAGGUGUAGCGGUGAAAUGCGUAGAGAUCUGGAGGAAUACCGGUGGCGAAGGCGGCCCCCUGGACGAAGACUGACGCUCAGGUGCGAAAGCGUGGGGAGCAAACAGG
rnacentral:rRNA from 1 species